rnacentral:tRNA from 1 species
GAGUCCUUAGCUCAAUGGUAGAGCAUUUGACUCCAGAUCAAGAGUCACCAGUCGAACCUUGUAGGGCCCG